rnacentral:rRNA from 1 species
CCCUUAGAUGUUCUGGGCCGCACGCGCGCUACACUGAUGCAUUCAACGAGUUUCUUCCUGGUCCGAGAGGAAUGGGUAACCUUUUGAAAGUGCAUCGUGAUAGGGAUAGACUAUUGCAAUUAUUGGUCUUCAACGAGGAAUUCCUAGUAGACGUAGUUCAUCAGACUGCAUCGAUUACGUCCCUGCCCUUUGUACACACCGCCCGUCGCUCCUACCGAUUGAGUGGUCCGGUGAGGCUUUGGGAUCUGAGCGGAAAGAGCGUUUCGCUGUUUCUGCUCGGAAAACUCAGUCGAACCUUAUCAUUUAGAGGAAGGAGGAGUCGUAACA